UUUCUUCUGAUCCAUGGCCCUACUGCACAUGCAUGCUUUCAUUAUCUCCUCAUCAUAAUUAUAUUAACUUUCAUAACCAAAUACAUAUUGCAUGGGAUCAAGGCAUGAUUACCCUACUCCGAUACAACUUUCUUCUGAUCCAUGGCCCUACUGCACAUGCAUGCUUUCAUUAUCUCCUCAUCAUAAUUAUAUUAACUUUCAUAACCAAAUACAUAUUGCAUGGGAUCAAGGCAUGAUUUAAAA
rnacentral:lncRNA from 1 species